rnacentral:rRNA from 1 species
AAACCAACAGGGAUUGCCUUAGUAGCGGCGAGUGAAGCGGCAAAAGCUCAAAUUUGAAAUCUGGCACCUUCGGUGUCCGAGUUGUAAUUUGAAGAUUGUAACCUUGGGGUUGGCUCUUGUCUAUGUUUCUUGGAACAGGACGUCACAGAGGGUGAGAAUCCCGUGCGAUGAGAUGCCCAAUCCUAUGUAAGGUGCUUUCGAAGAGUCGAGUUGUUUGGGAAUGCAGCUCUAAGUGGGUGGUAAAUUCCAUCUAAAGCUAAAUAUUGGCGAGAGACCGAUAGCGAACAAGUACAGUGAUGGAAAGAUGAAAAGAACUUUGAAAAGAGAGUGAAAAAGUACGUGAAAUUGUUGAAAGGGAAGGGUUUGAGAUCAGACUCGAUAUUUUGUGAGCCUUGCCUUCGUGGCGGGGUGACCCGCAGCUUAUCGGGCCAGCAUCGGUUUGGGCGGUAGGAUAAUGGCGUAGGAAUGUGACUUUGCUUCGGUGAAGUGUUAUAGCCUGCGUUGAUGCUGCCUGCCUAGACCGAGGACUGCGAUUUUAUCAAGGAUGCUGGCAUAAUGAUCCCAAACCGCCGUCUUGAAACACGGACCAAGUCUAACGUCUAUGCGAGUGUUUGGGUGUUAAACCCGUACGCGUAAUGAAAGUGAACGUAGGUGAGGGCUCUUUUGAGUGCAUCAUCGACCGAUCCUGAUGUCUUCGGAUGGAUUUGAGUAAGAGCAUAGCUGUUGGGACCCGAAAG